rnacentral:rRNA from 1 species
UAGGGAAUCUUCGGCAAUGGGGGGAACCCUGACCGAGCAACGCCGCGUGAGUGAAGAAGGUUUUCGGAUCGUAAAGCUCUGUUGUUAAGGAAGAACGAGUGUGAGAAUGGAAAGUUCAUACUGUGACGGUACUUAACCAGAAAGGGACGGCUAACUACGUGCCAGCAGCCGCGGUAAUACGUAGGUCCCGAGCGGUGUCCGGAUUUAUUGGGCGUAAAGCGAGCGCAGGCGGUUAGAUAAGUCUGAAGUUAAAGGCAGUGGCUCAACCAUUGUAGGCGUUGGAAACUGGUUAACUUGAGUGCAGGAGGGGAGAGUGGAAUUCCAUGUGUAGCGGUGAAAUGCGUAGAUAUAUGGAGGAACACCGGUGGCGAAAGCGGCACUCUGGUCUGUAACUGACGCUGAGGCUCGAAAGCGUGGGGAGCGAACAGG